rnacentral:rRNA from 1 species
AACGAACGCUGGCGGCAUGCCUAACACAUGCAAGUCGAACGGGAUCCUAGCUUGCUAGGUGGGAGUGGCGGACGGGUGAGUAACACGUGGGAAUCUGCCUUUUGGUUCGGGAUAACCGCGGGAAACUGCGGCUAAUACCGAAUGCCCUCGAGAGAGGAAAGAUUAUCGCCAGAAGAGGAGCCCGCGUCCGAUUAGGUAGUUGGUGGGGUAAAGGCCUACCAAGCCGACGAUCGGUAGCUGGUCUGAGAGGAUGAUCAGCCACACUGGGACUGAGAUACGGCCCAGACUCCUACGGGAGGCAGCAGUGGGGAAUAUUGGACAAUGGGGGCAACCCUGAUCCAGCAAUGCCGCGUGAGUGAUGAAGGCCUUAGGGUUGUAAAGCUCUUUGCCAGGGAAGAUGAUGACUGUACCUGGAGAAUAAGCCCCGGCUAACUUCGUGCCAGCAGCCGCGGUAAU